rnacentral:rRNA from 1 species
AUUGAACGCUGGCGGCAUGCUUUACACAUGCAAGUCGAACGGCAGCGCGGGCUUCGGCCUGGCGGCGAGUGGCGAACGGGUGAGUAAUGCAUCGGAACGUGCCCAGUAGUGGGGGAUAGCCCGGCGAAAGCCGGAUUAAUACCGCAUACGACCUGAGGGUGAAAGCGGGGGACCGAAAGGCCUCGCGCUAUUGGAGCGGCCGAUGUCGGAUUAGCUAGUUGGUGGGGUAAAGGCUUACCAAGGCGACGAUCCGUAGCUGGUCUGAGAGGACGACCAGCCACACUGGCACUGAGACACGGCCCAGACUCCUACGGGAGGCAGCAGUGGGGAAUUUUGGACAAUGGGGGCAAGCCUGAUCCAGCCAUGCCGCGUGCGGGAAGAAGGCCUUCGGGUUGUAAACCGCUUUUGUUCGGGAAGAAAUCCUCUGGGCUAAUACCCCGGGGGGAUGACGGUACCGGAAGAAUAAGCACCGGCUAACUACGUG